rnacentral:rRNA from 1 species
GAUGAACGCUGGCGGCGUGCCUAAUACAUACAAGUCGAGCGAACAGACGAGGAGCUUGCUCCUCUGACGUUAGCGGCGGACGGGUGAGUAACACGUGGAUAACCUACCUAUAAGACUGGGAUAACUUCGGGAAACCGGAGCUAAUACCGGAUAAUAUAUUGAACCGCAUGGUUCAAUAGUGAAAGACGGUUUUGCUGUCACUUAUAGAUGGAUCCGCGCCGCAUUAGCUAGUUGGUAAGGUAACGGCUUACCAAGGCAACGAUGCGUAGCCGACCUGAGAGGGUGAUCGGCCACACUGGAACUGAGACACGGUCCAGACUCCUACGGGAGGCAGCAGUAGGGAAUCUUCCGCAAUGGGCGAAAGCCUGACGGAGCAACGCCGCGUGAGUGAUGAAGGUCUUCGGAUCGUAAAACUCUGUUAUUAGGGAAGAAAAAAUGUGUAAGUAAAUAUGCACGUCUUGACGGUACCUGAUCAGAAAGCCACGGCUAACUACGUG